GGCGGCGUAGCUCAGUCGGUAGAGCAGCGGUCUCAUAAUCCGCGCGUCCCCAGUUCGAUUCUGGGCGUCGCCA
rnacentral:tRNA from 1 species